GGCUAAACAAAUCCGGAAAUAGCUGGUUCUCCCCGAAAACUAUUUAGGUAGUGCGUCGUACGGACACUUGCGGGGGUAGAGCACUGUAAUCGUUGGGGGGGUCAUUGCGAUCUACCCCGCGAUAGCAAACUCCGAAUACCGCAAAGUGAUAUACGGCAGACAGACAUCGGGUGCUAACGUCCGGUGUCAAGAGGGAAACAACCCAGACCGCCAGCUAAGGUCCCAAAUGCAUGGCUAAGUGGCAAACGAGGUGGGAAGGCAUAGACAGCUAGGAGGUUGGCUUAGAAGCAGCCAUCCUUUAAAGAAAGCGUAAUAGCUCACUAGUCGAGUCGUCCUGCGCGGAAGAUGUAACGGGGCUCAAGCCAUGAACCGAAGCUGCGGAUGUGUCUUUGACACGUGGUAGGGG
rnacentral:rRNA from 1 species